UAUGAUUCUCGGUAGUGGAUAUCUUAGCUCUUGCAUCGAUGAAGAGCGCAGCAUAAUGCGAUACGUGAUGCGAAUUGCAGAAUCCCGUGAACCAUCGAUUUUUUGAACGCAAGUUGCGCCUGAGGCCAACUAGCCAAGGGCACGUCCGGCUGGGCGUGAUGC
rnacentral:rRNA from 1 species